UCCGUAGGCGGGCAAUUAAGUCAGAGGUGAAAUCCCACAGCUCAACUGUGGAACCGCCUUUGAUACUGGUUGUCUUGAGUUACAGUGAAGUAGAUAGAAUAUGUAGUGUAGCGGUGAAAUGCAUAGAUAUUACAUAGAAUACCGAUUGCGAAAGCAGUCUACUAACUGUAUACUGACGCUAAUGGACGAAAGCGUGGGGAGCGAACAGGAUUAGAUACCCUGGUAGUCC
rnacentral:rRNA from 1 species